ensembl:lncRNA
AACAGAAUUUCCUUUUCCCCUGCCUUGACCUUGUAGGAGGCUGAAGCAGACCCCAACUCCGAGUCAGGAUUCCUGGGGCCCUCCGACCCGCCCAAGAAGACCCCGAAGGGGGAGACUCUCUGCAGCAAUGCUGCCAUGGGCGACUGCAAGGAGCUGGCGUGGGCCAAGGUGGGGCCGCUGCAGCCUGUCCUCCAUCAGCAGGCCAAAUUGCAGGGGGGCUCGGAAGGACCCGAAAAACGCCUGCGGGAGUCUUCCCGGCCUUUUCUGCCCCUGGUGCCGGACGUAGGGCGCCUCUCCUCCGAAUUCAGCCACAUUCUCAACUCCAGCCUCCUCAGCCAACAGGGCUUCCAGCAGCUGGACCCCCAGGUGGACACCACCAUUGCCGGAUCAGGUUUGAAUUUCCACCCAGAAAACCUGGCCGAACACCCCUUUGCGGAUGAGAGGGAUGACUCCAGCCCGGAGCUGGCAGGGAAUGACAGCGAGGUCACUCAGCCCAGCACUGGCGAGGGUGGGGCGCAGGGACUGCAGCCGGACUUAAACUACUAUAUGCGCCUGCUUCUGAGCCACUCAGACUUCGAAGGAAGCGCAACGCAGCAGGAGACGUGUGCCACAGACAGCCCACCCCGUACCAUGAAUCGGACACAGGCCGGUAACUCUCAGCUUUAUCACGAACGGUCCACAGCCCUCUGGGAUCCGGCGCAGUCCUCUUUCAGCACGAUUCGCAUCCAGCCACCCAGCAGCGCCGCCGUCCACAAAACCAAAGUCCCCCUGCCCAAAUCUGGACCGGUCUGCUUAAGCCUGGAGCCAGUGAGCCCCUCCAAACAGAACGUUGCCCACGAAGAAGGCAUCCUGUCUCCCAGCCACGUGGCAGCCGUCUCCCUCCUUCUCAAACAGUACCAGGCCAAGGGGAGACCUGUGCCCUCCGCAGAAGAGCUGUACAAAUACUUGCACAGGAUAGGGCAGAACGGCCCAGAAACCAAAGGCGACGGGAACCUGCCAGCCCGCCGGAACCUCGAUCCGAAAUUGUCCGAAUCAAUGAGGAAAGAGGGCCCUCCCAGCCGGCGGGCGGGGAGCUCAGGGCCUGGUCGCGAGAGGUCCCACCCUCCUGGGAAGACGGGGAAGAAGCUCUCCGGUUCGCUGGCCUCCCACUCUCGCAGCAGCAGCAGCAGCCGGGGAGGAGGGAGCGUGUGGAGAUAGCGUCUCGGCCAGCAGAUCACUUAUCUCCCCCCCCCCCCCCAUUUCGUGGUUUUGUCCGCUGGAUCGACACAGGUGGAGUGUCAACAACCCCCGGCUUGCUGUCCAGCUAGGGAAUCUAAAAUAAGGCCGGGAAGGGAAGUCUGUGUCGUUUUAAGCCGCCACUCUGGCAGAGUCAGAAAUGGGAACGACGUAUGAGGGGGCCCGUUUUUGGGUCACCGAGAAACGACGCUGCCAGACCUUUGCAAGAUCUACUUCUCGGGAUCUCUGAAUUUCAUCCGUCGGCGUUUCUCUUAUUCCCGAGGUCCAUCUCUGCGGUCCAUUUGCAGAGGAAGCCUCCAAACAUGGCCGCCUUAAGACUUGUGGACUUCAAACUCCCAGAAUUCCCCAGCCAGCUCCUCCCCCUCCCGCUUCGCUGAGAAUCAAGAUAUAUUACGUCGACCACAUACCCGCUAUCAAGGAAUUUAUCCCAUUUUUUUAAAAAAUGCAAUAAAGGUAGUUUAGCCACAUUGGUUCUUAUCCA